CACUUAAGUCGUUGCUGAUUGUCUUCAAAGCAUGGCACCAUCCACCCAGGUUGUGUGAACUAUCGCUGGGAUCUUUUAAAAGCCUAGCAAGUGCACUUGCGAAAGGGCCUCUCAGCGCUUGAACGUCAGUUGGAUCUACACGGUAAAAAACUGGCAAAACUAUUUGCCCCGACUUUUCUCUGCAUUCAUUUAUCACAACAAGCUCGUCCAAGCACCAUGGAGAAAAUUUCAUAGUUUUUGGAGAAUAUGACAAUUGAAAUACAUGAUUCUUGAAUUGUUUGCUUGAGGGCUGGUGUUAUUUCAGUUCCUUUUUUAAGGUUUUCAUCCUUGAAGGUAUCGAUUCCUUUUUCCUUCAAAGAUUCAAAGAGAAAGGAGAGAAAACCGUCGCGGAUGUCUUUGCCUCUGAAAUUAAUAAAAACUUCGCGGUUAUUUGGCUCGGAAGGGUUUUGCUGGGAAGAGGUUGACGAAGGAGAAGAAGCAG